GGUUUAAUUNGAUGNAANGNGAAGAACCUUACAUAGACNUGACAUCUCCUGAUUAACCGGUAAAGCGGCGAAGCCCUUCGGGGCAGGAAGACAGGUGGUGCAUGGUUGUCGUCAGCUNGUGUCGUGAGAUGUUGGGUUAAGUCCCGCCACUAGCGCAACCCUUGUUGUUAGUUGCUACCAUCACCCNGAGCACUCUAGCAAGACUGCCGCGGUUAACGCGGAGGAAGGUGGGGAUGACGUCAAAUCAUCAUGCCCCUUAUGUCUAGGGCUACACACGUGCUACAAUGGCAAGUACAAAGAGAAGCAAAACCGCGAGGUGGAGCAAAACUCAAAAACUUGUCCCAGUUCGGAUUGCAGGCUGCAACUCGCNUGCAUGAAGCCGGAGUU
rnacentral:rRNA from 1 species